UGUUGGGUUUUCGCUAGCAGACAUGUUGUUGUCCGGAGAAAGAGACAAGGCUGCGAGUUGCUUAGAGUAUUUUCAAGUUUUAUCUGCAAGGUCGACUACUCGUGGUCCUGAUAAUGACUUGUUUAAAAUCCGAAAAAAGGAGAUGUGGCGAGAUGAAGAGAGGUCGAGCGGUUUUCCCGGUCUUCCCAGUCUAUGGACUCUGCUGUUUUCUUCCUGUGAUGCUGUGUACUAACUGCUCAACUGUGACUGCCAUUGGCCCUGUGACUGCUAUCCCCACUAACAAUUCGUUUGGGAUUCUGGACGACUUGAAAAAAAAUGGAAGAACUUGAGGGACAGGUUCAUUAAGGAGAGGAAAGCAGCCAGGGAGAAAAAAAGUGGGUCAGCAGCGGACCACAAGCCCCUCUGGAAAUUUUAUUCAAUUAUGACUUUUUUGGAGCCGAGUGUGACAGAGAGAGAGAGCACAUCUAACUUCUCCAGCACACGCCCCCCCCCACGGAUGCUGAUGAUGACACCUUCACCCUCAAUCUGACCAUGGUCCCCUCUGAGGAGAAUGAAGUGUCCGAGUCUGUGGUCACACAAGGCACCUCAAGCUUCCCCUCAGCGCCAGUGUCCACCCCCUGUCCUACUCCCCCACUUCCUCCAGCACCCUCAGCACCCCCAGCAACCCCAGCACCCCCAGGACCCCCAGGUCAGAGGGCUGGGAAAGCUAAAAAUAAAAGACAGAGGCAGGAUGAUGAGGCCUUCGAGAAUGAGGUGAUGGGGAUGCUCAGUGCUAGGCCAGAUGAGGAGGAGCUCUUCCUGCUGAGCCUGGCACCUCGCCUCAGAAAUCUGACAAGUGAAAAGAAGAGUCUUUUUAAAAUAGAAAUUCUGCAGGCGUUGCACAGGGCUGAGUUUUCAUAGACUUUUUUUUACGUUUUUGUUAAAAACACACACACACACACACACACUCUAUUGAGUCUCCUCGGGCUGCUGUGAAGGCGAUGUUUUGGGCCUGUUCUGGUUCCUGUUAAAUAAGAUCAAGUUUAAAUAAAAAAAGUUUGCAAAAAA